rnacentral:rRNA from 1 species
GGAGGGUGCAAGCGUUAUCCGGAUUCACUGGGUUUAAAGGGUGCGUAGGUGGCUUUAUAAGUCAGUGGUGAAAUGCCGCAGCUCAACUGCGGAACUGCCAUUGAUACUGUUUAGCUUGAAUCACGUCGAGGUGGAUGGAAUAUUACAUGUAGCGGUGAAAUGCUUAGAUAUGUAAUAGAACACCGAUUGCGAAGGCAGUUCACUAGGCGUGCAUUGACACUGAGGCACGAAAGCGUGGGGAUCAAACAGGAUUAGAUACCCUGGUAGUCCACGCCCUAAACGAUGUAAACUCGACAUUAGCGAUAUACUGUUAGUGUCCAAGCGAAAGCGUUAAGUUUACCACCUGGGAAGUACGACCGCAAGGUUG